GUGAGAUAGCUCAGUGGUUAGAGUAUUUGCUGUUCUUCUAGAGGACCUGGGUUCAAUUCCCAGCACUCACA
rnacentral:tRNA from 1 species